AGUGGCGGACGGGUGAGUAACGCGUAAGAAUCUAACUUCAGGACGGGGACAACAGUUGGAAACGACUGCUAAUACCCGAUGUGCCGCAAGGUGAAACCUAAUUGGCCUGGAGAAGAGCUUGCGUCUGAUUAGCUAGUUGGUGGGGUAAAGGCCUACCAAGGCGACGAUCAGUAGCUGGUCUGAGAGGAUGAGCAGCCACACUGGGACUGAGACACGGCCCAGACUCCUACGGGAGGCAGCAGUGGGGAAUUUUCCGCAAUGGGCGAAAGCCUGACGGAGCAACGCCGCGUGAGGGAGGAAGGUCUUUGGAUUGUAAACCUCUUUUCUCAAGGAAGAAGUUCUGACGGUACUUGAGGAAUCAGCCUCGGCUAACUCCGUGCCAGCAGCCGCGGUAAUACGGGGGAGGCAAGCGUUAUCCGGAAUUAUUGGGCGUAAAGCGUCCGCAGGUGGUCAGCCAAGUCUGCCGUCAAAUCAGGUUGCUUAACGACCUAAAGGCGGUGGAAACUGGCAGACUAGAGAGCAGUAGGGGUAGCAGGAAUUCCCAGUGUAGCGGUGAAAUGCGUAGAGAUUGGGAAGAACAUCGGUGGCGAAAGCGUGCUACUGGGCUGUAUCUGACACUCAGGGACGAAAGCUGGGGGAGCGAAAGGGGUUAGAUACCCCUGUAGUCCUAGCCGUAAACGAUGGAUACUAGGCGUGGCUU
rnacentral:rRNA from 1 species